UUAUGGCUCAGAUGAAACGCUGGCGGAAUGCUUUACACAUGCAAGUCGAACGGCAGCACGGGGGCAACCCUGGUGGCGAGUGGCGAACGGGUGAGUAAUACAUCGGAACGUGCCCAGUCGUGGGGGAUAACGUAGCGAAAGCUACGCUAAUACCGCAUACGAUCUCUGGAUGAAAGCGGGGGACCGCAAGGCCUCGCGCGAUUGGAGCGGCCGAUGGCAGAUUAGGUAGUUGGUGGGGUAAAGGCCCACCAAGCCGACGAUCUGUAGCUGGUCUGAGAGGACGACCAGCCACACUGGGACUGAGACACGGCCCAGACUCCUACGGGAGGCAGCAGUGGGGAAUUUUGGACAAUGGGCGCAAGCCUGAUCCAGCCAUUCCGCGUGCAGGAUGAAGGCCCUCGGGUUGUAAACUGCUUUUGGACGGAACGAAAAGGCUCUUUCUAAUACAAGGAGCUCAUGACGGUACCGUCAGAAUAAGCACCGGCUAACUACGUGCCAGCAGCCGCGGUAAUACGUAGGGUGCAAGCGUUAAUCGGAAUUACUGGGCGUAAAGCGUGCGCAGGCGGUGAUGUAAGACAGAUGCGAAAUCCCCGGGCUCAACUUGGGAACUGCAUUUGUGACUGCAUCGCUGGAGUGCGGCAGAGGGGGAUGGAAUUCCGCGUGUAGCAGUGAAAUGCGUAGAUAUGCGGAGGAACACCGAUGGCGAAGGCAAUCCCCUGGGCCUGCACUGACGCUCAUGCACGAAAGCGUGGGGAGCAAACAGGAUUAGAUACCCUGGUAGUCCACGCCCUAAACGAUGUCAACUGGUUGUUGGUCCUUCACUGGAUCAGUAACGAAGCUAACGCGUGAAGUUGACCGCCUGGGGAGUACGGCCGCAAGGUUGAAACUCAAAG
rnacentral:rRNA from 1 species